CAUGACAACAUUACAUUGACAUCACUGCUUUCUCCUAGUGCUUUCACUUUCUAGAUACAGUAUACAUCAAUAAAAAGUUCCCGUUCCAUUUCUAAAAACGCACGUUUAAACGGUAGCGUUAAAACGCGACCAAUUUCUCAUUAUAAAUUAAAACGGUGACGUCAUCAUGAAAAAUUUAAAUUACUUACACAAUGAUACUAUACUGUAUAAUUUGUAGUACAAUGAGCUAGCUAGCUAGCUAGCUAUUAUAAAGUACGCAGCCAUGCAGUCAGACAUACUGGAAAAGAGACAAUGGUCUUCAAAAACGGUCAUUCCAGGUCACAAAUAACUUGCAUGGAGGGCAACUUAGUCUUGGGGCUGAUGCGAGACCGAGAACAACUGGGGAAACGGUACACUGUUGCAAAAUAGCAUCUAUAAGCUAUAACUAAGAGGAUUAAAGCGCUAGAUAUACUGUAGUACACAAGCUAGCUAGCUAGCUACUGCUACACUGUACGCACGAUCACAAGUUAACGAAUCUGCUUACUCAGCAAUUUUUCUGCACAUGCGUGAAAACGGUAGCGUUUUGCAUAAUACAAUGCGUUCAUUAUGCGUUUUGUUUUAUGCGUUUAAACGGGAACGGUGCGUUUUACGCAAACGGAACGGGAACUUUUUAUUAAUGGGUACUGUACACUUUACAUGAGCCCACUACCACAUUAUUUCCCACCAAACAACGAUCAUAAUGACUACAGUUUCUCGAGCCCCCUUCAGCAACAUCUCCAACGAAGAAAAUGAGGCACGUGCACCAACCACAGUACCAAUGAAGAAAAGCUGUCAACCUUUGGCUCCACUGCCAGUAGAAGAGCCUAUCCUUGAAGAACAGACUACGUCAGAAACUGUCGUCAGAGUCAAAUGACAACAAAGGUUGCCUAUACACAGUGCUGCACCAAGAAAAGGAACUAUACAGACUACUAUAUAUAUAUACAGUGGUGUUCAACCUGUGUGUGAGGUUACCUGGAGAGAGGGGAUAUGGACCACACACUGAGUGGUUAAAAUCCAGACCCAUCCGUGGAUGAAGAUGCCUACUCUCUCACUGACAUCACUAUUCAAGAGACGGGGAAAAAACUACCCACAAGACCACCUCAACUAAAUACACAGGAGCUAAGCAAGGAGCGUCUUCCAGGAAGUAAGAAUAAUCGUCUGGCCGCAAAGAAACUACAAAAGCAAAUGUGGAUCAGAUCAUCUACCCAAUAAUUAUACUGACACGCUGCAGCAAGCCCAGCCCCUCCCCUGCUCCCAACGCAACUCCAUUCCCUCCCCACAAGGCUCCAUCACCACCACUAUCACUCAAGGUUGCUACUGCCCCUCUCAAUCUGGAUCUAUAGCAGUCUGAAGGAUCUCUACUCUAUAUAAGAACAGAUUUUAUGAUAGUCUAAGGAACAGUUUGUGUGAACAGUUGUAUAGUUUAGCAGGCUAGCAGGUAGAGUCAGCAAUCAAUGUUCAAUUUUAGUUGGAAGUU